rnacentral:rRNA from 1 species
CCUACGGGAGGCAGCAGUGGGGAAUAUUGCACAAUGGGGGAAACCCUGAUGCAGCGACGCCGCGUGAGUGAAGAAGUAUCUCGGUAUGUAAAGCUCUUUCAGCAGGGGAGAAACCCACCCUCCGGGGUGGCUGACGGUACCUGACUAAGAAGCCCCGGCUAACUACGUGCCAGCAGCCGCGGUAAUACGUAGGGGGUAAGCGUUAUCCGGAUUUACUGGGGGGAAAGGGAGGGUAGGUGGGAAGGUAAGGCAGAUGUGAAAACCCGGGGCCCAACCCCGGGAGUGCAUUUGAAACUGACGUGCUAGAGUGCAGGAGAGGUAAGUGGAAUUCCUAGUGUAGCGGUGAAAUGCAUAGAUAUUAGGAGGAACACCAGUGGCGAAGGCGGCUUACUGGACUGUAACUGACGCUGAGGCUCGAAAGCGUGGGGAGCAAACAGGAUUAGAUACCCCAGUAGUC